UUUUUUUUUUUUUUUUUUGUAGCCAAUCACCUACAAAAUCUGAAAAUUUCUCUAAUAAGCCAGUACAUAUCAAAACAAAUACAAGAAAUGCCUUCAUUUUCAGUUUGGGAGAAUUUUUUAUCCACGUGGGUCUGUGAAGUCUCUGUCCAAAAGUAUCAUUUUGAGGACAAUAGAAACAUGAGUCUUAUUUGAUUCCAAGAUGUGGCCUUUCCUAUUUAUAGUACAGUUUGCGAUCUUGAAACUAAAUUUUUUUUAAAGGUGUUGUUCUAUUUAUUUCUUUUUUUAUGUGUGGCUGGCAUGUAUGUAUGUAUGUGUACCAUAUGCAUGCAGUACCCAUGGCAACCGGAAGAGGGCAUACGAUUCCUCUGGAAUUUUUUGUGGAUAUAACCCAACAAGUGUGUGCUGGAAACUAAACCUAGGUCCUCUGCAAGAGCCCCCUGUGCUCUGAACUCCUGGGCCGACGCUCUAACCCCUUCAGAGAUGGCUAUUUAAAAGAACAACAGUAACAACAAUGGUCAUUCACACCUGUCACCCCAGCAAGCAGGAGUCUGUGGCAACCAGCUUGCCUUGAGUUCAAAGCCAUAUAAUGGUUACAUAGUUCUCAGCCAACCGAAACUACAGAAUGAAGCCCUAUCUCAAACAAGUGAAAGAGCAAACAGACAUGAGCCAAACAAAGGUAUGUCCAGGGUAAAGGCCAGCCCUCUGAACCAGAGGUGCAGUCACAAUGCCAACCAGAAUUAUUACUCAUCCUUACUGCGCUUCAAGUAGUGCUUGGUUUUCCUUUGACCUGUGUCAACCAUGUUGUGAUAGAUCUGAAAAGCCCCCGCCUCUGCUGGCUGCUACCAGUUUCAUAAAAACAAGUAACCAGCCACGUAGUCUAAGAGAGAAAGGUGAGGCAUAGCUGGGAAACUGCCAAGUAGGAGGGGGAUGUGGUCUGGAUGACAAUGUUACAAUGUUGCCACUAUCACAGCAGGGGGGAGCCAACAGCCAGAGCUAAAAACAGAGUCUCAUGGGGCAGACAUCCUGCCAUUUCAGUUUCGUUCAAGGAAUUCCACCCAGAUUCCGCUGUCACCUAACCAGUCCCACCAGGCACAGACUUCACAUCACACAAUAUGGGAACAUAUACAUAUGACAAUAUAAAAAGACAUGGUAUGCCUUCCAUCGUGACCCACUGAGGGGCUACACCCUCACUUAUGGGUGAGCCUUUCCCCAGUGUUUAUCCUGCAUUCAAUCAGGGUGAAUUAACCAGACAAAUGCACCAGAAGUAGCAGCUACAAAACAAGAGUCCGGAACUAUUGGGUUUUUGAAACAGGGACUCACUUUGUAGCCCAGCUGGCCUAAAACUUGUAGCAAUCCUUCUACCUUAGCCUCCCAAGUGCUGGGUUACAAGAGUGCACCCUCACUCCCAGCUUUUGUAGUCUAGACACCCAGCAUGUAGUAGGUCAUACUCAAGGAAUAGGCAGUGCUUGUCCUAAAUUGAUUAUAAAAUCAAAAUGGGGGGGGGGGAGUCCAAAAAAUAGGACAAAUUUUGAUCAAAGAACAAAAAUGGGAAUUUUCAUCUUUCUCUUCGUGACACAAAGAAAGUAGAGCCAGCUGUUACAUAAUACAUCAGGUUUGAUCCUUGGAGCUUACAGGGUGGAAGGAAAGACCUGACCCCCAUCAGUUAUCCUCUGACCUUCACGAGUACACUGCGUGCAUGCAUCAUGCUCAUAUGCACAUGAUAAAUAACGUAAUUAAAAUCUUAAAGUAACUUAGGAAUGGUUUGCUUAUGGAUUAUUUACAUAUUAUAUAACCAAUUUUAUUUUUAAAAUAUACAGACAGCAGUUUUACUGUGGUGGUCAGCCUGGAAUAGUAGCAGAAGGCAAUCUCAGCUGGAUCUUGUAUGUGGGGGUUUACUUAAAUAGCCCAGGUUGGCCUCAAACUCACUGCAUAGCCCAGGCUGGAUUUGAAUUCAUGCUUUUCCUCCCUUUGUCCCCCAAGAAGUAGGACUACAGUGAAGUACCAUCAUAGACUCAUCUUUUGAAUUUUGGAAAAGGUACCCGAUCAAGUCUUGUUCCAUGAGAUAUGACGUGCUUGCCCUCCAGGCUUCUAGAAUCCAUUCUUAGCCUCAUCCACUAGAUUUGCAAUUGUUUUCCAAAUAUUUGUCUAUUUUUUCCCCCUCACAAGAGACCUAAUUGCUGUGGGAAAAACCACUGCUCCUCACUUUAAAAAAACAAAGCUUGACUUUCUUGUUUAUUUACCUAGAUCUUUCUGUUUAUGUUUAUGGAGCCGUUUUUGGGCCUUCUGUGGAAGGAUUGAUCAUGACAGAUGGUAGCCAGCAACCUUUGGGUCUUGAAGCAUUUUGGACGAGGACACUUUAGGAGUCUGCCAAAAGCUAGCAGCUGGCCAGCCCCACUAACUAGAGUGAUGUACCAAGUUUGGCGAAAUCAUUGCCUAGCCUUGGGCCAAACGGGGGCAGACCAGGGCUCUGCAGUGAAGAAUUCAUGAGAGUGUAUCGGCCAGAGCAUCCCAGAUGACAAACGAGGAGACAUAGCUCAGGUCAGAGGACUCAGGAGAGGAUCCAGUGCGAUGACUCAUACCCAGUCAAUGGUGGUUCUGCCCUUUGACAUCAGUCAUGGGAACGGCUGCAGAGUUAGGCUCUUGCUUGCAGCUUUGUGAAUGGUGACAGUGAUGGGGGGGGGGGGGGAACGAUAGCUGUUAAGUUGCCCCGUUUAAGCCUGCAGCCCCCCAUUCUUCUCACCGUGCUGGGGCAUCCUGAGAGACAGUUCUCUUGAUUUCACUUCACCAAGCAGGAGGACGGUGUGUGGUCACUGGUCCAAGUACCAGACCCUCUGUAUGGUGACUUCCUGACAGGAAGAAAGGCAUUAUGGCCUCAUAUGCUGUUCUUCCUUGGGUCUCUCGUGCACUUGGAAAGGACCCUGUUUGGCCCCGCCCCCUCAUCCCUCUGUCAAUCAAUCCAGUGCUCUACAGUAUAGAGGCAGGAGAGUGAAGGGCGAAGGGUCUGGAAUUGUAUCGGUAGGACUUCCAACCAAGACAGGCCACGUAGAAGCUGCCUUAGACCUGUUCUUCACUUCCUUCAUGUCCUUGUCACUUGGCUGGAUGGUUCUGACUCCUGAAUCUGUUACAGUUGUAGAACAAGCUAACCAUGCAGUGUGCUCAGUGUGGACUUUAGUGCACGUACUAGGUCUAUAAUGAAGCCUCAAUAUGUCAUCAGUUCUAUAUCACUGUUUUUCAUAUUUUAGCAGCCCUGGGAUAAAAUGUUAGUGGCAAUAGCAUCUUGUAAUUAUGACAGCACCUUCCUUCUUUCUGGUCCAGUGGUGCUGUCUUGGGUUCCACACGAGUUCAUCCCACCCACCUGCUCUCUGAGAGGCUGUUGAAUGACCUUGGCAAGUGCAUCAAUUAGUUGCUUUUUAAUACUCUUUUUCUUCUUAUUCAUUUGCUACAUGUGUAUAGUUAUUUAUACGCUUGUGUGUGGCGUGCUGGUAGCGAUCACUGGACAGCUGUGGGACUGCGUCUUCUCUUCUUGAAUACUUGAAUCCGGGUCUCUUGUUAUUUGCACCGGUGCACUAUACAUGUGAGCCCCUGGGUGAUUCUCCUGUCUCCCAUUCUCAUCUCACUGUAGGAACAGUGGGGUUACAGACACAAGCUACUACAUCUGGCUUUUUUUUUCAAGUGGAUUCCAUAAUUGUCAAUCUUGGAUAGCAAGCAGUUUUACUACCAAGGCAUCUCACCAACCCAUGAAUCUGUCACUUUUAUUUUGUCACUAAUGACCGAAUAGAAUACCUGACC
rnacentral:lncRNA from 1 species